GGCAGGAGGCCUGCUUGGCUCACCCACCACCUCCCCGGCCAGGCACGUGGUGGCUAAUAUUACAGAAAAGCCACGGUUCAGUGUGGUGGGGCGGUGGCAGAGCAGGGAGCAGGGUGGCAGCUGGAGCCCCCACCCAGUCAUUUGGAGCCCCCCUCCGACCUUGGAGGCCACAGACUGGGGCCUCAAGGUCCAAGGGCUCUCUCUAAGUAAGAAGUAAGUAAAAGGAUUGGCAUCUCUGCAUUCCUGAUAGUAUCAACAUGUCCUCUAUUGGUUUUGCCUCUUCAUUAAAUGCAGUGCUAUAAUCACACUACUGCAGAAAUAGCAACAGGAACAUCCUGUCCCCAUGUAAUGGAAGGAGCAGUAAGUUAAGCAAGACCAGGGAAACCAACCAAAGAAGCAGGAUUCGGGGGACAUAAAUACUCAGGAAAGGACAGUAAGAGUGCACCUGCAGUGAUAGAAAAAGAGAAGUGGUGGUGGUGGUGCAGUCUUAAGCAAGCACACAGCAAGAGCUCAAGAUCAGAGAAGGAAGUUAAGACUUAAAUUACUGUUCUAAAC